rnacentral:lncRNA from 1 species
GGACGAGGGAGAUUUCAUCAAUUAUAAUUUUCUGCCUAAGAAAAUUAUGGACCAUAUAUGACAAACAAACGUUUUUAUCACAUAAAACAAAAGAAAAAAACUGCAGUGAAUAUGAUUUUUCGGUUGUUUUCUUAUACAGAGAAUAUUAAAAUAAUGUUGGAAUGUGCAAGGGAAAUUGUUAUGGCGGUGGACAGAUCUAACAGCAGCAAGUUGUUCUUAUACAGAGAAUAUUAAAAUAAUGUUGGAAUGAGUAAGGGAAAUUGUUAUGGCGGUGGACAGAUCUAACAGCAGCAAGUUGUUCAUAAAUAGACGACGUCUAUUUUGUCGUCCAAAACUGAAGUUGACGUUGAGAAAAAAUAAUUGG